rnacentral:rRNA from 1 species
CUAAGCCAUGCGAGUCAUUGUAGCAAUACAAGGCAUACGGCUCAGUAACGCGUAGUCAACCUAACCUAUGGACGGGAAUAACCUCGGGAAACUGAGAAUAAUGCCCGAUAGAACACUAUACCUGGAAUGGUUUGUGUUCCAAAUGAUUUAUCGCCGUAGGAUGGGACUGCGGCCUAUCAGUUUGUUGGUGAGGUAAUGGCCCACCAAGACUAUUACAGGUACGGGCUCUGAGAGGAGUAGCCCGGAGAUGGGUACUGAGACACGGACCCAGGCCCUAUGGGGCGCAGCAGGCGAGAAGACUUUGCAAUGUGCGAAAGCACGACAAGGUUAAUCCGAGUGAUUUGUGCUAAACGAAUCUUUUGUUAGUUCUAGAAAUACUAACGAAUAAGGGGUGGGCAAGUUCUGGUGUCAGCCGCCGCGGUAAAACCAGCACCUCAAGUGGUCAGGAUGAUUAUUGGGCCUAAAGCAUCCGUAGCCGGCUCUGUAAGUUUUCGGUUAAAUCUGUACGCUUAACGUACAGGCUGCCGGGAAUACUGCAGAGCUAGGGAGUGGGAGAGGUAGACGGUACUCGGUAGGAAGGGGUAAAAUCCUUUGAUCUAUUGAUGACCACCUGUGGCGAAGGCGGUCUACCAGAACACGUCCGACGGUGAGGGAUGAAAGCUGGGGGAGCAAACCGGAUUAGAUACCCGGGUAGUCCCAGCUGUAAACUAUGCAAACUCAGUGAUGCAUUGACUUGUGGUCAAUGCAGUGCUGCAGGGAAGCUGUUAAGUUUGCCGCCUGGGAAGUACGUACGCAAGUAUGAAACUUAAAGGAAUUGGCGGGGGAGCACCACAAGGGGUGAAGCCUGCGGUUCAAUUGGAUUCAACGCCGGAAAUCACU